UACGUAGGGGGCAAGCGUUGUCCGGAUUUAUUGGGCGUAAAGAGCGUGUAGGCGGCCUGACAGGUCUGCUGUGAAAACUCGAGGCUCAACCUCGAGAUGUCGGCGGAAACCGUCUGGCUAGAGUCCGGAAGAGGAGAGUGGAAUUCCUGGUGUAGCGGUGAAAUGCGCAGAUAUCGGGAAGAACACCGAUGGCGAAAGCACUCUGCUGGGCCGAAACUGACACUGAGAGACGAAAGCUAGGGGAGCGAAUGGG
rnacentral:rRNA from 1 species